rnacentral:rRNA from 1 species
GACAGAGGGUGCAAACGUUGUUCGGAAUUACUGGGCGUAAAGCGCACGUAGGCGGAUACUUAAGUCAGGGGUGAAAUCCCGGGGCUCAACCCCGGAACUGCCUUUGAUACUGGGUAUCUCGAGUCCGGAAGAGGUGAGUGGAAUUCCGAGUGUAGAGGUGAAAUUCGUAGAUAUUCGGAGGAACACCAGUGGCGAAGGCGGCUCACUGGUCCGGUACUGACGCUGAGGUGCGAAAGCGUGGGGAGCAAACAGG